UAACUUCCUCUUGGAUAGACGCCUUCCUUCUAACAAUCAUCUUAGAAGAGUUGCACCGUUUUAUUUAGCUAUCUAUAAAAAUCAGAACCCAAAUGGCACUUUUUCCUUGUCUUUGAUUUUCUCUGCUAAGACAACAGGUUUUGGCGCUAACCUCCUUUUCACCGGAUUCUCAUAUUCUUUCAUUUAAUCAUCUACUUCUUAUAGUUUUUUCCAAUUUCACUUGAUGGUUUGAUUCAUCUAUUUCCGGCUAAAUCUUUAGCGAUAUCCCUUUUCUGCCGAAAUUGAAUUACAAGAUCCUAUAUAUAUUUGAAAAAGAUGAAAUCUCCUCUAUAUUUACCGACAGUUCUAUGAGUCCCCGGCCCAUUCUACUCAGUUAGUUUGUUGUAUUCUGGAAGUUACAUUAAUAUGGACAAUGACUUCUUACAGAUCGGAGUAAUAUAUUUUACUUUCCCGAUCAUUUCAGGAAAAUAGAGGUACAAGCAACGCUAAAGUCCAUCAUUUUGAUAAAUGUAAUAUUUCCUUCAAAGGUUCCUCUUUAUUCCUAUUUUAAUUUAUUUACACAUCUUAUGAAUGUUCUUUGUUGAACUUAUGACGUGUUUAUCUAA